GCAGAACAUGAACUGAGAACAUUGCAAAACUGUUAAUUCACCGGCAAAGUUGCUGAGAGCACUUUAGUGUGAGUUUAAAAUGUUGAGUCUAUGAUAGCACAGGUGUAUCCAACUUGCAGCAUUUUUAAAUCUACUUUGACAAAAAGCAAAGGAGAGAUUCCUUCACUCCCUGAGUGGGCGGCGCCACGAGGCGCACCUGUAGCCACUCUGCCAUGAAGGGCUCUUAAGCCACCUGCUGCAGGAGGAGGACGUGGGGUUGUUCCUACUGGUCUGCAUGCUGCCUGGGAAGCGCCAGUUAGUUUGUUGCUGUUCUCGUGACCUGAAGGCUGCUGACAGGAAGUGACGUCGGGGGUUCAGAGGUGCGUUUUAGCUUGUUGUGGGGUUAUGGCCGCAACAGUAGCCCGUGUUGUUGUUAUGAUUGUUCUUUUGUUAUUAUUAUGGUGCCUGUUGUGAGAUAACUUAAAGUUGC